rnacentral:lncRNA from 1 species
UCCUGGGGCCCCUUGGACCUGACACCUAGCAGGAAGGGCUUAUGCAAAAUUGUCCCAGGUUGGGAGGACUCACUCUGUGCUCCCCGACCCUGCAGCCCGGAGGAUUCCUGUCCCUUGACUUGGACAGCCCAGUGGAGAGGGCUGUGUACCAAGGGCAGGAAACCAGGGAGAAGAAGAUGUUGACUUUAAGAUACCAAGCAGAGAAGGGAAGAGCCUUCUGGGCUGGAGACGUGGGGUGCCUCAGAAGGGAGGACCUUGAGCUAGCAGCAGAUGGGACAAACGCAGGGGACAGGGCACAGCCGUGGCAGGAGUGCAGCGAGCAAGAUUCUGGUCACAGU